AAUGUAUUUUUAAAAACUAGAGUAUUAAUAGUUAUAUACUUUAAACUUAAAAAAUUUGGCGGUAUUUUAGUCUAUUCAGAGGAACCUGUUUAGUAAUCGAUAUUCCACGAUGGACCUUACUUAAUUUUAUAUAUUAAUUUGUAUACCGUCGUUAUAGAAAAUUUUAUAAGAAUAAUAAUUUUCAAUAAAUUUAAUUAAAUUUUAUAUCAGAUCAAGGUGCAGUUUAUAAUUAAGAUAAAAAUGGGUUACAAUAAAAUUAUUUAUAUGGAUAUAAAUAUGAAAAAUUUAUUUAAAGUGGAUUUGAUAGUAAAAUUAUAAAGAUUAUUAAUUUGAUUAUUGCUCU
rnacentral:rRNA from 1 species